AGCACAAGUAGAACUUCGAAGGACAGUACACAAUAACCGCUAAUACACUGGUACAUGACAUUUCCACGGUGAUGACAACAUGCACUCAUAUAAUGAGCUUCUGCAAAAGGAGGAAGAAGAUUGGGGCUCUGUUGAUUCGACAAGAGGAAACCCAAAUUUGUCGCAUUUGAAAAGUCCGUACAGUCAAGCAGACUAUGUUUGAUGAUGAACACUUCAUCGCAAGAGACACACAUGGGAAAUCCAACUCCAUCCGUUUUCAGCAGAUAGUCAUGACAAAACCGGCUGUGGCCAAUACGACAUCGUGGUACAGCUACCUCAUCAGGUCUCGACUGACAACCCAGAUUUCAAUAGUGACAUCGAGGGCGUGAAUCAAGAUAUAUGAAUAAAGUGUGGGUGCUUUCUGUUGGGACAAGUGCCAUACACUUGUUGAUUUCCCGGGAACAAGGCUUAGUUGCCGACACAGGAGAAACUGAUUGUCUAAGUGAAAGUGACCCUUGAUUCAUUCCGGUAGAACCAUCGGCGAGGUAUUCCUGUGUCACUGACACUAUACACAUUGUGCGUAUACGGGUACAUCUGUCUUCACUUGAUUCUAUCUGUAUUGUAGUACCGACCAAAGUUCA